CUCCACCACUGUAUGCCAUUCAGGGAAGCAUUGUGUUCCUCUUGCAUCGUGUUCGAGCUCCAUCCUUGGUCCUCGACCUGAUCUUAUCCUCCACGACCGGCGGCCGCUGACCUCAUUGAUGCAGUAGCGAUUCCAAAAGAGAAGGGGACAUGACAUGGGUUUCGGAAGGAGAAGCGCGGACAGGCGAUCGAUGGCGGAUGAGAGAGCUAACGUGCGGCGCGGGUGUUAUUUUGGUCGGUGUAUUCAGUAAUCCACAAUCAAAUCUGGAUCCGAGGGCUAAGAAUAAAAGAUGGAGGAGAGGAGUGGGGCCGCUCUGAUCUGAAGUAGUUGACACGUGCCCUCGUAGGAAAUUUUGCAGAACUUCCAAACUGACUGAAAUAAUAUAAGCUCAUCCUGUCCGGUAAGCGAGGCUGCAGAAUGUAUUAUUAUUCGGGGGUUUUAAAUUUAU